UCAUUUCUCCCAUGUAGCCACAUCUGAACACUCCCCUUCUCUCAAACACUCGAACUCCUAACAGCCUCUGUCGUCUUCUCCGACCAGUUCUCGCCGGAGUCCAUGGCUUCUCAGGCAAUGGACGACCUGUGCUCACUUCCCUUCACCCCAUAUCAUGGCUGUUCAAGGCUUUCGAGGUUCAACCUCAACGAGGAGUGUUUAGAUCCUCCAUCGAUUUGUGUUCAUGUCAUUUCUCCGGCUCCGUUCUGACAUGUUCGAGCUUUAAAAGGCCCAGCUGUUGUUCAGACCUGUUCGAGACCAGAUCCAUUUCAAGACUUCUCAUUUCUAGGGUUUUUGAGAAACCCUAAAAGCUUGUUUGAGGUUCCUUCUUCCUUUAUUUUCUUAAAUCUGUGAUAGAUAUGUGUUAUACUCAAGGUUGUAAAGCUUUUCCCUAAUUUAAAGCUUUAUUUUCUUAGGUUUUCAAAAAUCUUAAAACGAUUUCCAUUUCUUCUUUUUCUUCUUUCUUUAUUUGAAUCUGUCUGUUUAUGCCAUGUUUUAUGAGUUUUUCUUAUGUUUUGUAUCCUUUCCUCACAUAUCUUCUCCUAUUUGCCAUUAUUUGUGCUCUGUUAUUUCCUCUACUAGUUUCUACAACAUGUUUUUAAAUGUCUAUCUUAUGUGUUCCUUUGCUAGUUUACAAGUGAAUUGUGUUUGCCUUUAUUGGACCUCUUUUUGAGACCUAAACCUGUUUCAUCUGCUGUUGCUUAAAGAUUUAUGUCACCUCUUUUGUCUACUGAACUCGCUUGAGUUCUGAGCUUUUCUUAAACAUGUUUUGUGAUUUUUUCACUCUGUUGCUUCAAAUUUGCCAUUAUAUCUAUGUGUUUUCUCAUGAGACUCUCUGAGUCUAUUUCGAUGGCUUACCCUCUCCUUUCUGUACCCUACUCGAAUUUGAAACCCUAGGAUUUGGGGUUUCUGUGAGUUUGGGUCUUUGUGCCUGGACUAGGGUUCUACUUUAGACCCUGGAUUGAGCUGGAAUCUUUUUGCUUAUGAUUUGAAACUUUCUAUGCCAAUCGUUUCUUUCUUGUUUGACACAUGUGUGCUUUUUAUAUGGAAGCUUUUCUUUCAAAAUGAUCUUGCCAACUUGUGACUGGUUUUGAAUUCCUUUUACUAAGGCUUGAUUGAUUUGUUACUGAUUUUCCCAAUUGAACAUUUUCUCACCCUUUUUCUGACUAAGUUCAUUCAAACUAAGCUUUCAAUUUACUGGCUGUUUAAUUGAUCUACUUUUCUUAUUUCUCACAAAUCAUGCACCAUAGGAUUCUUGCCUUAAAUAUUCUCUAUGUGUUUACCUAUGUUAUGUAAUUUUGGAAAGGUUUUUAACUAUUCUUCUUUCCUUAAUUGUCUCACGCCCGUUUGAAAUCAAAUCCCUUAACCUUAGGAGACCUUUUGUGAUUGAUUGUAAACUAUUUUCUUGCUAUUUCUUACUCGUUUUCUGCACUAUAAAAAGGUGACUACACUUUUAGCUCUUAGACACAACUUUUCUACACAACAGACCUCAAAAAUACUUUUCACAAUUAGGCAUUACACAAUUGCAAUACUUUCUCUACUCCUAAUACUGAGCACUCUGCUCCUUUUCUCUUUUACUGUCUGAAACAUUCUUGAGUUCCUUUUGAACUCUCAAGUAUUUGCUGAAGAACUUGAGUUUGCUCCUGUUGACUUCUAGUUGUUUACUUGCUCUUAUUGUUCUGUUAUUCUAGUAUUUGCAGCUGGUAUGUCACUCUUAAUUAUAUAAUUCCCCCUCCGCUAUGUGUUUAUUUUAUGUCUUAAGUUUAUUUACUCUUAUUGUUCAGAAACUCUAGUGUUUGCAACUGGUAUGUUAUUCUUAGUUAAAUAAUUCCCUCUUCACUAUGUGUUAUUUUGUUGUUAGCUUGUUCUGCUUGCUUGUCCUGGGUAGCUACGUCCUAGUCUGUUAUACGUCUUUGCUUAUGUUUCUCCAACUCUGUAAAUGAUUAUAUUAUGUGAAUCCCUAUCCCUUUACCCCUUUUGUAUGAAGAGUACAAUUCCAGUCAUGGAAAUAUCCUAUUAUUGCUAUCCAAUGACUUUGAACCGGGUUCUUUUGAACCCUUAUUCAAAUCAAUUCCCACUCCCAUUUCUCCUUUAUGUGCUAAGCCUUGACUCAAGUCUGGUGGUGUCAUAAUGACCAUCCAGACUCAGGUCUGGCCUCUAAGGUCGGCUCUUUAUUUGUUUGGACCAAGCAACUGGUCAGGGGUGUGCCAGUCUAUGCCCAUGUCUGGGCAUGAACACCAUUUGCUAUGGCUCCCUAAUCCCUCUCUCACUUUGCACUUAUUCCUAGUUCUAAGUUCUGCCCCCCCUCCCCCCGGUAAGCCAUGCUUUAGGACCCUGGAGACCACUCUGAACUUGGAUGCCUGAGGGCUGGCUAUUCCACACUGCACUAUUCUGUUUUAAUUGUUAUCAAGAGUGUAAGCACUGACUGGAGCCCUUGAGGCUCAUUGGAACUCUGAAACACUUUGGAUUAGAGAAGGCUUUGGAAGUGUGGAAUCCAAAAUUGUUUAAUCACAUGCUAUUGGGUACUAAGAUUCAAUAGGGCGCUCGGAUCUAGCUGUAGACUUUAAAAAAACUCGGGGAAUAUUAGUAAAAGGGUGUGGGAAGGGUUUACUUUUUUCUUGCAUUAAAUAAAGAGUAGAUACCAUAUCUAGAGGUUUAAUGUUUAAAUAAUUCACCUAGAUACCAUGUUUAUAGGUUUAAUGUUUUAAUCAGUCACAUAGAUACCAUGUCUAUAGGUUUAACGUCUUAAUUCAAUCACUUAGAUACUAUAUCUAUAGAAUUAACAGUCAUCUAGAAAUUCUGCCUAUAGAUUUUAAUACUUUAUCAUCUUGCAAAUCAUUAGAAAUCCUGCAUAUAGAAUUUAAUAUUCAUGUAAUUAGUUGCAUAUAGAAACCAUGCCUAUAGGACAUGCAUAUGUGUUAGGCAAACUAUAGGCUAAUCAAACAAUCACUCUUUUUACCGAUUCAGUAACAAGUCUUACAGAACAAAUAUAGAUAUCAUGCCAAUAGGAAUUCAUCUCAAGCUCGCCUAAUUUGUUAAAGUAAUAACAACCUGCUAACUGGCCCUAAUGUUUAAUGUAACAUUUUCAGUAAAGCUCUUAUAAGUCUGUAAUUCUUUAAAACUCUUUAAAUCUGCAUCUUUUCUGAAACACUUGUUUUUAAAUCUCCUUACUAAGUGUUUUAUUCAGUCCCUAAAACUAUCUUUUGAAACACCAUGUCAACUCGUUCUUUCUUUCUUUUUAUUGUAUUCUCUCUUUUCAAAACUUUCCUGUGAUUUACUUAAACAAUCUGCUAUCCAUAAAAAUUCUUCCUGAAAUUACUGCAAUCUCGACUUUCUUAUCAAAUUUGCUACAUCAGGCCAUCUUUUUCUGAAAUUAGUAUUUUUGGAAUAACCCGUUUAAAUACUCCAAUUUCUGACAGUUGGAUCCGAGUUGCCUAAUGCAGACUUUUUAUCUAAUUCUAUGUGUUAAACUAGUCCGUCCGCCGCUUAAGUUUAAUUUAAAGACAAAACCAGUAUGUGCAAGGCAUGCUAACUAAGUGUCAUCAGAUUUACAUGGGUUUUGUGAGCUUUACAUGUUUUUUUUGUCAAUCCCCUCUACUUGUUAUAUGUUUUGUUUGUCGAAACUAGGAUUUUAUCCUUUAAACACCCAUAUAUGCCUCUACCCCCAUUCCUUUCCCUUUUAGGAUUAGAAGUCCUAAUGCCCCAGGACUGAUAGGUUGGGACGGGUAGUAGCAUGCAAUAAGUAAAUGAUACUAAUCGUAUUUAAAUACCUUGACGUGGUGGGAAGGGUAGAAUAUGGAGAUGAUGACCGAUGGCUAAUAUCACGUGUGACCCCUCUUUGGAGGAGUGAUUGCUGGAUAUUGCAUUGAUGUGAUCCAUAUUUUGUAUAAACCUAGUACCCCUUUUUCCUUUCUUUUAUUUCCCAUGUCUUCUUUACUUCUAUUUCUUUAAAUUAACUGUGUUUUUUCUAAAAGCUAUCCCUUUUCUAUCUUCUUUUCCUUUUCAAAAGCUUUAAACUUAUUUGUGAUUCUUAUGAGCAAAGCUUUACCUGUUUUCUUCUACUUCUUUUAAAUUCACAAUUAAAGCAUGGCCAGGAACCACACUAGUGGAUCUUGAGGGGUGCCUAACACCUUCCCCUCGAGAUAAUCUCAAGCCCUUACCCGAACUCUAGUUUCCUUUCAAAAUUUCUUCUUCUCUUUAAAGUGUCCUAAUUCACUAUAAUAAUUAGGUAGCAACUCUUAUAAUUCUAUGACCCGAUACCCACAAGGGAAUAAGAGUUGAUUUUCCCAUAAUAUCGUAAACACGAUUUCACUCUUUAGAAAAAGGGGGCAUCGACACCAAAAACAAGAGCUGACUGCAAUGCUGAGGACUUGAGAAAGUGGAAAAGAAUGCUAAGUCCAAGAAAUGGCUUGUGUGUGUACUUGGU
rnacentral:lncRNA from 1 species